GGAGAGAAUGCACCUGGCUUGUACUGAGCAUGCUCUGAAACAUCUGCUGAAGGAGACAAGCUAGCCAACGGGACAAGCAGUGAGCCUUAAAUCUGAACAGAGAUGGACUUCUUCAGUGGAAUCUACAGCCACUGAAGUCAAAGACUCCCUUCGGAUGGGACCAUAAAAUAACAGAGAAGAUGGAGAUGAAGAUGAUCACCAGACAGGGAGAGAGAGAGAAACAAUAGUUUCGCACCACCGUAUCCAAUGCCAAGAACUGAUGCGUCACUCAAUGGUGGAAAGCAAUAGAAGCCUGCCUGAGUCUUGUUAAGCCUGGAGAAUUUGGAGGAUUUUAUUUCCCUCGUGUUCUAAAAACGCUCUAAUAGUUUUUUUGUUUGGCCAUCUGUAGAAAUAAUCAAAAUGUAACUUCAAUGAAAAGUAUAAACUAAAAGCAGCCACUUUACGAAAGCAAGCAAAACUUAGCAAAGGAAUUAAACAUAUAAUAUCACUUAAUGUGCUAGUUUUACUUGUGAAAUCAUAUUUAAUAAACCUAAGGUCAACGCAGAAAGAAUGAUUGGAGCGAAUAUAUUGUAAAACUUCUGAUAGUCAGCAGAUCUUGAAAGAUUCCUGAAUUAUUUUUGAAGUAUGGAAACCUGGUUUAAGCUUAUUAUUUAUCUGUCUUAAAGUUGUUUACUGCUGCUCAUCACCAUACUAUCCGAGUGCCUUCCAUAUAAAAUAAAUAUAACAACAAAGUUCCUAGUGGACUUCAAAGAGUCUCUGGCAUUGCUUUAUGGGGUGAAAACUCUGUGUAGGCUAGG